rnacentral:lncRNA from 1 species
CUUGUGUUGAAAAUCUUACUAGUAUAGGACUCAACAGAAAAUAUAUUCCCCAAAUGCCCGUAAGAAUUCCUACUUCAAACCUCAGACUUCAAAUAACUGCCAGAACUACUUGACUGAGCUCUGGAAUGAGUAAUUUUUUUUAGAAGCAGAGGUGGAGCCACUGAGGAAGCACAGGUGAGCCCUCCCCAGUGUGUACUCACUGGUCCCCAACAGAAGAACCACUGCCACAUCCACUGAGCAGACUCCCAUGGUUGUGGGUUGUGUCACCCCACAAUGUCACUGUUGCUGAGUCCCCAUCGCCUCUGUGUUGUGGAGCAGUUAGAGACACACAGCAGUGUCUGUGAGUAGCUCUGCGUGAAGGACCAUUUUCUAGAUGAGAGGCACAUCUCAACACAGCUCACUGAUCAGAUUCAGCAAUUCCAUUCUGCAUCUUUUCUGAUCACCUCCGUGACCACACAGGACAACCCCAUCAGGGCCCUGUCACCAGGCCCAGUCUAGCUCCAUGAUAACCAAGACACAGGUCCAGAGACAAUCAUCCUACAUUGUGCCUGCAUCUGACCCCCCUUGGUAGGUAGUGACCAGCACUACAUGGAAGAAGCCAGGGCAGCUAGCAGCCAGCUGCUCUGCAGCCCCAAAUGGCUCCUGGGCCUUGGGAAGUCAUUCAUAAAGCGGAAGCUGGUCACUUUGAGGUCCCUGAAGGUAAGGGUGAACGUGCAUCCUAACAGCCCUGGCAGCCAGCAGCAUGCCAUACAUAUUCUCACCCAACGUGUGUGACAGAGGUCCCCUCCUGGGGCACAAGUCCCAUACCUAAAGCAUCCUGUCCCAGUCGGACCUCAUCCUGAGCCCUGGGAGGGGAGGGGCACCAUGGACCUGUUAGUGCUGUCUCAGGGACACCAGACCAACAUCCUGGACAUCAUCCACAUACACAAGGAAGCUCUUACCAAAGUCAUGGAGAGCAGGCAACAUGUGGCAGAAGGAAAGACAGAGGUGCAGAGGCUGAUGACGUCAGAAUCACAGGAACAGGAUUUCUUUGGCCACUUUGGCUGAAAUUCACCACUUCCAUCCAAUUCCAGUGAGAGACAUGGACUCACAGAUGCAGCAUUUCUUGCAACAAGAGAUACUACUUUUUCAAAAAGUCACCCAGGAAUUGAUAGUGUUGAAUGCCUCGAUACUCGAUCGUGGACGGUUUCCAGUUCAAGGAUACUUUCUACAGCAGAAUAAUAACACUAGCAAAGAGCUAGUACAAGGAUGGUUUUGUGCUCAACUGAAAUCCAGCUGAAUACAGAAUUGUAUAGGAAACAGUUAAUAUGGUGAUAGAAUAGAAACAGUAGCAAUCGUGAACUAAAUCAUACUAUGAAUGCCUAAACUACUGCUGUAACUUUUGGAAAAAUGAUAAUACCACUUUAUUGCUUUUCGAAGUAUGAAUAUUUUAGUGUAUAUGCUCUAGACUUCAAACUCUAUAAAGAGUCUCAAAGAAGUUGGCUGGAUAAAGCCUGCUGUGGAUGUCUUUAUAUUCAAAGAUUGAUGAUGCAAUUUGAAUAUGUGUCCCCACCGAAUCUCAUGUUGAAUUAUAUUUCCUAAUGUGGAAGGUGGAUCCUGGUAUAAGGUGAUUGAAUUAUGAAGGCAAAUUUCUCAUGAAUGGUUCAGCACCCUCCCCUUGUACCAUCCUCACAAUAAUGAGUGACUUCUCAUGAGAUGUAGUCACUGAAAUCUCUAUAUCACCUCCCCACUCUCCGUGUUUUCCCCUUGCCAUGUGAGACAAUUGAUUCUUUCUUCGCCUUCCAUGAUUAUUGAAAGAUUUCUGAGGCCUAGAAGCAGAAGCACUGUGCUUAGAACCAUGAGCCAAUUAAACCUCUUUUUCAAAAUAAAUCAUACAGAAAAUGGCAAA